rnacentral:misc_RNA from 1 species
GUAAAUAGAGACCCGAAAGAAUCUUGAUGACAUGUAGCAUGAUUUCCGUGAAAGAUUGCGCUGUUCCUUGACCAUCAAAGUUUCUUUUAAUUCCAAGCAAAUGACUCUGGUUUUCUUUACUGAGGAAUGUAGCAUUUUCCAUUAUCUUUAGGCACUUCAAAAGUAGCAUCAGGCUCUGCAGAAAGUUCUCAUAUCUUGCAUCCUCCAUAUUGGAAUGGCAAUCCUUGGCAACCUCAAAGACGGC